rnacentral:misc_RNA from 1 species
UGGUUCUGGCAUCGAUGAAGAACGCAGCGAAAUGCGAUAAGUAAUGUGAAUUGCAGAAUUCAGUGAAUCAUCGAAUCUUUGAACGCACAUUGCGCCCUCCGGUAUUCCGGGGGGCAUACCUGUCCGAGCGUCAUCAAACAUCCUCAAGCGUAGCUUGGUAUUGGGCUCCGUCGUUCACCCUCCAGGGGGCGGCCGGCCUGAAAAUCAGUGAGCGGUCCGGGGAGAUCCUGUAUGCAAUAAACUCUUCAUUCAGGCUUCGAUCCGCGACCUGCCAGCAGGGCCCCACCGCCAUUUUGACAAUCGACCUCGGAUCAGGUAGGGAUACCCGCUGA